AAUGUGGUUAAUGAUGCACAUCUUUUUUCCCCGUCUUAUCGACUAUGGUGAAAAAAAAGCUGUAAAUAAGCCAAACUUGUCUGAAACCACAUC